CUACCGAGAGCAGCUUAGGGUCGUGCUACUUGCCGACUUUAACAAGAGACUUCAAAUUGACCAGCAGGGGAUAGUAGGGCCAUUUUUGGUAUUUCAAUCAACUUGAAUAUUCACCUGAUCCCUUAUCUUUUCCCAUCAAUCCUAACGCCACCGCUAAAGAGCUCCACCUCCAAACGUUUGCUCUGUCCUCUUCUCUAGCUCUCAAAUUUGCACCAUGGUGGUCAACGGAGUUUAUACCUCCGUCUCCAAAAAAGUUUCUCUCCAGGUCGUCGGCCGCUUUCUCUCUCCAAACCUCUGUUUUCUCUUCAUCUCCUCUUGUUCUUAACCUGGCACUUUGAUGGAGUUUAUAGCUACCUCCUAUUAGAGUUCAAUCUCACAGUAUAAUAUGCUGGUUACUAUCUCAUUCGCCGCAUCUACAAUUUCAGGAUGUGAGCACACAAGAUUCAACAGCGCUUACGAUGCUCUAGAUGUAAAUCCGUAUGUAUAAUUGUUGGGGAACACAAUAGAGAUACUUUAUGCCCUACUACAGCUCAACCGAAACAUACUUAACUUGAUCAUAAUAAAUUUCUCUGCUUUACUUAUGAGUACAACAUAUUGUACUGACCUUGUGUUCGUGUUCGUGUUGGGCCCGGGCAAGUAUAUUUAAUAGGAAGAAAGUCUAGCCUAUAAUUAAGCCAAAUGGCAGCACAAGAGAAAGACAUGUGGCAGUUUAAGGCAAGAAUUAGUUAUUUAGUUAACUAACUUUUAAUUUUUUUUACAGCAUUUACUUAAAAACAUAUUUUAGUAAGUUGUGAUAAUUUAAUACUUACUUUUCUAUA